UGGGGAAUAUUGCACAAUGGAGGGAACUCUGAUGCAGCGACGCCGCGUGAACGAAGAAGGCUUUUGAGUCGUAAAGUUCUUUUAUAUGGGAAGAUAAUGACGGUACCAUAAGAAAAAGCCCCGGCUAACUACGUGCCAGCAGCCGCGGUAAUACGUAGGGGGCUAGCGUUGUCCGGAAUCACUGGGCGUAAAGGGUUCGCAGGCGGAAAUGCAAGUCAGGUGUAAAAGGCAGUAGCUUAACUACUGUAAGCAUUUGAAACUGCAUAUCUUGAGAAGAGUAGAGGUAAGUGGAAUUUUUAGUGUAGCGGUGAAAUGCGUAGAUAUUAAAAAGAAUACCGGUGGCGAAGGCGGCUUACUGGGCUCAUUCUGACGCUGAGGAACGAAAGCGUGGGUAGCAAACAGG
rnacentral:rRNA from 1 species